rnacentral:rRNA from 1 species
AAUAUUGGACAAUGGGCGAAAGCCUGAUCCAGCCAUGCCGCGUGUGUGAAGAAGGUCUUCGGAUUGUAAAGCACUUUAAGUUGGGAGGAAGGCCGUAAGUGAAUACCGUGCUUUUUUGACGUUACCGACCGAAUAAGCACCGGCUAACUUUGUGCCAGGAGCCGCGGUAAUACGAAGGGUGCAAGCGUUAAUCGGAAUUACUGGGCGUAAAGCGCGCGUAGGUGGUUUGUUAAGUUGGAAGUGAAAGCCCCGGGCUUAACCUGGGAAUUGCUUUCAAAACUGACGAGCUAGAGUACGGUAGAGGGUAGUGGAAUUUCCUGUGUAGCGGUGAAAUGCGUAGAUAUAGGAAGGAACAUCAGUGGCGAAGGCGACUACCUGGACUGAUACUGACACUGAGGUGCAAAAGCGUGGGGAGCAAACAGG